GGGCUCCUGGCCAGAGCGCUUUCUCUCGCUGCUCCUCUCUUCGGCCCUUUCUCUCUCUGGCACCUCGGGCGGCUGCGGUGGCAGCGGCGACAGCGACCCCAGCAGCAGCGAGCGGCGGGAGCGGGUGGCCGUGACGAUGAAGUGCAAGCCCAACCAGACGCGCACCUACGACCCGGAGGGGUUCAAGAAGCGGGCGGCGUGCCUGUGCUUCCGGAGCGAGCGCGAGGACGAGGUGCUGUUAGUGAGUAGCAGUCGGUACCCGGACCGCUGGAUCGUGCCGGGCGGGGGCAUGGAGCCCGAGGAGGAGCCGGGCAGUGCGGCUGUCCGAGAGGUGUUCGAAGAGGCGGGAGUCAAGGGGAAGUUAGGCCGGCUCCUGGGCAUUUUCGAACAGAACCAAGACCGCAAGCACAGAACGUACGUGUACGUACUGACCGUCACCGAGAUUCUGGAGGAUUGGGAAGAUUCGGUUAGCAUUGGAAGGAAGCGAGAGUGGUUCAAAAUCGAAGAUGCGAUCAAGGUUCUCCAGUGCCACAAGCCCGUGCAUGCCGAAUAUCUGGAGAAACUAAAGCUGGGCGGCUCCCCAACCAAUGGAAACUCGGUGGCCCCAUCUCUGCCACAGAGCGAUCCCUAGUAUGUACCGCUCCUGCACAGACUUCUGCUUUCCGCCUACCUUAGAAUAAAUAGUGCCCGGAGCACCUCUGCUGCCUAGUGCGGUUUCUCGGGGAGGAGGGGGGCUUCUUUUGUUUCCUUGGCAGACCUCUGAAUCACGCUUGCAAACUGUCUCAGUUGCCAGGCACUGUUUUCAGACAAUUUGCACGUUUUUCAGAUGCUUUGAAAAUCGCUGCUUCGUAGGACUGUAACAGAUUUCGGGCCCCUUUUGUGGAAGCACCAAGAGAAACAGGAAAUAUUUUCAGCACCAUUCUAGUAUUGUACCCAUCUUUCUGAAUGAUUGUUGGCCUGUUAGACUAUGAACUCUUUGAGGAGUAGGACCCAGCCUGAAUCCUGUCCAUAUUCUCAGAGCCUAGAAAAGUGGCUAAAGUUUGGAGACAUUUGUCACUGAACCACAGAUUAGAAAUGUCUACUACUAGUGUAUUCUUGAUUUCUUAGCUUCAUGUUUUAUCUGGACAGUCUCUUAUUUUCACCUGGCCUCAGAGUGGAACUGCAUUGGAUAAUUCACUGAAAGCUUUUACAAGAGUCUCAAUAAAUAUUUGUUGACUGGAGGAAUUGAUGAACCAAUAAAACUAUUAAUAAGAUUUAUUUUAGGUGAAUGGCACAGAUGUGAUUCAGAUGUACUUUGAAAGAAAUAUGUGCACCCAGUGAUGAAUGGAAUUGUGAAACACAGAUGAGCUCUUUCACACUCCCGAGGACAAGCUCAUCCUAUGCUUUUGAACACUUCUCUGUUUAUUGCAAUGACCGUUCUCCAGAUUGUUGCACUACCACUAUCUCUGUAUGGACUUCUAAUUUGGCACCUAUGGCCUUUUUUUGUGCUUUUAUGAUUAUCUGUAUUUCCCACCAGCUUGGUUAUAGUGCAAGGGCCUUGUUUCCUUAGUCUUUUUAUGUAUCUAGCAUACAAGACAUCACUUGAAAUAUGGUAGAUAUUACUGAAGAUUUGUCUAAAUAAUAUUUUGUAAUGAUACAGAGUAUCAUGUAAAGCAUUCACCUUCUAAUCUGGUGUUAGCACACUAAAUUGCUGUCUAGCAUAUACAUGUUUUUUGUAUAUUAGGUGUCACAUACCGUUUCUAGGCUGUGAAAUAUUAGAAAGCAAAACUUCUUACUCCUAUGUCUCUAUCAUCCCAGACAUGUGCCUCCUAAUGGUAGUAUACUACACCACCUAUGAAAUAUAUUUGCCACAAUUUUGAACCUAAAUCAACCUGUGCCUCUAGACAUUCCUGAUCUAUAGAAAAUACAGGAAAUAGAGAAACAUUACAGCCCAGAGUUGAUGUCUGCAGAAUCCAGGCUGUAGGAAACUGUAGGACAAAUGAUCCAGUUUCUUCAGUAAACGGAUCGCCAGGAUGAAAGAAAGAAAUGGAAGAAGAACCUAUAGAUUGAAAUGGACUUGAGACAUAUAAAUCAAUUGUAAUAUAUGGAUAUUUUGGGGAUCCUGAUUUGACCAAACUGUAAAAUAAAUACAUUUAUGAGACAAUCCAGAUAAUUAUAAAAUUGACUUGAUAUUUGAUAUUCAUUGGGAUAAUGGAGAUUAUGUCAAAAACAAGAGUCCUUAACUUUCAGAGAUCCAUUCUUAAAUAUUUAUGGUUGAAAUGAUAUCUGGAAUUUGCUUCAUAAUAAGUGGAUGUUAAGUGCAUUAGAUCAAUAUAACAAGAUUGGCCUUGAUUUAAAGCUGGGUGAUGGUUAAAUGAUAGUUCAUUAUAUAUAUAUUCUUCUCUACUUUUUGUAUGUUUGACAUUUUCCAUAAUAAAAAGUUAAUGAAAAUAG